AGUGAACGCUGGCGGUAGGCCUAACACAUGCAAGUCGAACGGCAGCACAGUAAGAGCUUGCUCUUACGGGUGGCGAGUGGCGGACGGGUGAGGAAUACAUCGGAAUCUACUUUUUCGUGGGGGAUAACGUAGGGAAACUUACGCUCAUACCGCAUACGACCUACGGGUGAAAGCAUGGGAUCUUCGGACCUUGCGCGAUUGAAUGAGCCGAUGUCGGAUUAGCUAGUUGGCGGGGUAAAGGCCCACCAAGGCGACGAUCCGUAGCUGGUCUGAGAGGAGGGUCAGCCACACUGGAACGGGGACACGGUCCUGGCUCCUACGGGACGCAGCAGUGGGGAAUAUUGGACAAUGGGCGCAAGCCUGAUCCAGCCAUACCGCGUGGGUGAAGAAGGCCUUCGGGUUGUAAAGCCCUUUUGUUGGGAAAGAAAAGCAGCAGGUUAAUACCCCGCUGUUCUGACGGUACCCAAUGAAUAAGCACCGGCUAACUUCGUG
rnacentral:rRNA from 1 species